UCGAGAAACGAAAUGAACAGGGAAUACCGUUAAACUGAAAGUGAACUAUAACAAUAUGACGGCCGUGACGUCAUGCUUCGAUUGUCUAUUGUACUGCAAAUAGAGUUUUCACAAACAAUAUGAAGAACUUCUCACAAAAUGUAAAAUUGUGGAAGUAUUUUGUGGUCUAAAGUAAGAAGAAUAAUCUUCAAUAGGAUUCAUUCAAAUUAUGACUAAAUGAAUAUUGACAAUGAUUCAUGUAUCAACAAUUAUGAAACAAAAAAAUCGAAAAUAAUUUAUAAACUGUAACAUUUAUGGAAUCUGUAUUGUGGAAAAGACUAAAAUUGAAAUCCAUUGUGUACAUUUUUCAUUUCGUUACUUUAAUCUCAUUG